rnacentral:rRNA from 1 species
AUACGGGGGGGGCAAGCGUUGUUCGGAAUUACUGGGCGUAAAGGGCGCGUAGGCGGUCUAUUAAGUUGGAUGUGAAAACUCUGGGCUUAACUCAGAGCCUGCAUUCAAAACUGAUAGGCUGGAGUUCUGGAGGGGAUAGCGGAAUUCCUGGUGUAGCAGUGAAAUGCGUAGAUAUCAGGAGGAACACCGGUGGCGAAGGCGGCUAUCUGGACAGAAACUGACGCUGAGGCGCGAAAGCUAGGGGAGCAAACAGG